UGACGCUGAGGCACGAAAGCGUGGGGAUCAAACAGGAUUAGAUACCCUGGUAGUCCACGCAGUAAACGAUGAUGACUAACCGUCGGUCCAUUCGGAUCGGUGGCCAAGCGAAAGCGAUAAGUCAUCCACCUGGGGAGUACGACCGCAAGGUUGAAACUCAAAGGAAUUGACGGGGGCCCGCACAAGCGGAGGAACAUGUGGUUUAAUUCGAUGAUACGCGAGGAACCUUACCCGGGCUCGAACGGUGCAGGAAGAGAUCAGGAGACUGUGACGCCCUACGGGGCCUGCAUCGAGGUGCUGCAUGGUUGUCGUCAGCUCGUGCCGUGAGGUGUCGGCUCAAGUGCCAUAACGAGCGCAACCCUUGCCGUCAGUUGCCAUCAGGUAGUGCUGGGGACUCUGACGGGACUGCCACCGCAAGGUGUGAGGAAGGGGGGGAUGACGUCAAAUCAGCACGGCCCUUACGUCCGGGGCGACACACGUGUUACAAUGGCGGCCACAGAGGGGGACAAACUGGUGACAGUGCGUAAAUCCCGAAAAGCCGCCUCAGUUCGGAUCGGAGUCUGCAACCCGACUCCGUGAAGCUGGAUCGCUAGUAAUCGCG
rnacentral:rRNA from 1 species